ensembl:lincRNA
CUGCUCACUCAGUUCCCAUUUUAACCUUUAAAGGUAUGUGUGCAGCCAUCCAUCUAGAAUUAGGGAAAUUCUCGUAGUCAGGAGUUGUUUAGUCCAUAUGGCCAUUAGGACCCUUCCUAACCAGUGGGCUGGUCAGUAGGGAGGUAGGGUUGCAUAAGCCCUUCCUAAGCUGCUGUCUUUUUUUCCUUCUCUAUCAACAGGUCUGCAUACAUUACAACAAAGGAGAUGGACCCUAUGGCUCAUGUUCCUAUAAAAGGCAAUGUAUUAAACUUCAUACCUGCCAGUACUUUUUACAGGGUGAAUGCAAGUUUGGCACUGGCUGUAAGAGAUCCCAUGAUUUUUUGAAUUUGGAGAAUCUGGAAAAAUUAAAGAAGUUGGGCAUGAGCUCAGACCUAAUGAGCAGGCUGCCUUCCAUUUACAGAAAUGCUCAUGACAUCAAGAAUAAGAGCUCUGCCCCCAGCAGAGUGCCUGUUCCUCUUCCAGGUUCACAAGGGACUUCUGAAAGAGGAGAUAGUUCAGGUCCUGUAUCCCCAAAUGCUUCCAGCCAUGAGGAGAGUGAUGAGAUUUGCUUGUACCAUAUCCGGAACAGUUGUAGCUUUCAAGGUAAGUCAGAGGAAGCCCUAUCAUCCCAUAUGUGGGAGGGAUAACUGGUUCUCGUUCCUGAGUGCCAGAGCUCUCAGGUUCAGGGCCAUUCUUAGUGAUGAGCUAGUUUGGCACUUUUACCAAACCAGUUUUAAAGCUGUUGUUGGGGAUGGUAGGAAUUGAGUUUCUGAAAACAGACUGUAGGUCAGUUUUUUGAGAAUCUAAUCAUUUGAUUCAUUCAGCAAAUGAGUGUCAAGUGCUGACCCUUGGUCAGCAUAUUAUGGGAUCACAGACCUGCACGAGACGGGGAUACUUAGACUGGUGGGAAGAAAGAUAAGUGUCAUGUAUUCAGGAUAAUAACAGGGAUGCCUUGGAAACUAGAGAAGCCCUUGAGUUAGCUCUUGUAAGAUGAGUAAUUGUUUAAGUUGGGGGUUUUUCUUUGUCGCUUCAGAGUAUUGUACAAUCUCUCUUUUUAUCAGAAGUAAUGUUUCUUUUGUGUAUGUGUGCCUCUGUAUUUUUAUUACAUCUUUGUUUUCUUCUUACCGCUGUCCUGGGCUUUGACUGAAGAAAGAUUCCUUCUCAAAUUCAGUGACUUCUUUUAAUAAAACAACAACCAAAACUUCUUGUUUCAUUUCAAUCUUUAAAAAUUACCGAAGCAAUUCGUGAAUACUUUCACAUUGCAAAAGAGUCAAUAAUACAGAGUCAAGUGUGGAUGUCCUCCUUCACCCUUUCCCAAAGGUAAAGAUGUGUUAUGUAGUUAUGAUUUUUAUUUUAUGUAUAUUUAAAACAGAUGGGAACAUCUGAUACAUAUUAUUCAACCUGCUUUUUCAUAACCUGGAGUGUUAGAGACUUUCCUAUUUGAGUACAGGUAAAUUUACUUGAUGUUAAAAAACAACUCCCUAGAAUUUAAUUACACUGAUGGUCCCUUGAGCAUCCAUAUACAUAUGUCUUUGGGCCCGUGUGAGCAUUUCAAUGGGAUAGAUUCCUGGAGAUAGAAUUGCAAGGUCAAAGAAUACAUG